AAAAAACACUUGAACGCUGAGGUGUUGUUACUGUCUUGUGUGACAGAAAGUCUGUGUGAUAUUCUGCUAUCUGGUUUAAUGUGUGUCUGUUGGAUUUUUUUUUUCACCUGUUUUAAGGCUUUAUAUUUUAAAAGGUAUUUCUGCAAGUUAUGAAAUUAUUCUUGGUGAUAAUUGUUAUAAAGUAAAUCCUACACUUCUUAUCAGUGUACUGGAUUUACAGGGGGUUGGGGGGUGGGGGAACCAACAACAACAAGGGGAAGUUGUGGCCUAAUGGUUAGAGAGUUUGACUCCUAACCCUAAGGUUGUGGGUUCGAGUCUCGGGCCGGCAAUACCACGACUGAGGUGCCCUUGAGCAAGGCACCGAACCCCCAACUGCUGCCGCAGCAUAAAUGAUACCCACUGCUCCGUGUGUGUUUGUGUUCACUGCUGUGUGUGUACACUUUGGAUGGGUUAAAUGCAGAGCACGAGUUCUGAGUAUGGGUCACCAUACUUGGCUGUAUGACACUUCACUUUCAGACUAAGGUAUUCUUCUUAUGACACACUGAUAAAAUUUUAUUAUUAUUUUAUUAAUUUUAUAUUUAAUUUUAUUCUUUUGAUGUACGGAAUUCAGCUAGAAAUUUUUUUUAAGUGAAACUGUAUUCUUUACAGUAGGCUAUAUUUUGAGUCAUGUGACCUAAUUAUGCAAAUCAGGAGGGUUACUGGGAAUAUUCAUUGAGCGGGAUAUCAUUCCAUCCUCUCACAUGGUCUGUACAGCAGCUUGAAGCUUUUUAUGAUAGCUAAACUUUUAUGAUACUGCAAUAAAUUUGCGCCCUGAAUCUAUGGGUCAAUACUGCUGACAGGACUUAAGGCAGAGAGAAAUUGAUGGCAUAGAAAUGAAACUGUCUAAAGGCAUCAUUCUCCUUUUUCUGGGAUUGUUUUUUAAGGUUGCUGUGGCAGGGUAUUCCACACAGGUGUACUGGUUAGAGCUUGAAAUCGAGUCAUCGGUGUAUGACUAUGUUGUUGAGCUUCUGAUGGAGCAGACACACAUAGACAUUGCUAAUGCAAUUGUAACAGACAUCAAAAACACAACAGAUUGCACACUGAAAGAUAAGAAAAAUAUUUGUUUAUGCAUGCCGGGAUACAAAUGGAGUGAGGACAUGUGCAAAAAUCAUGGCUGCUGCAAUAACAGCUGCACGCUAAAUCUUAAUGACAUUGCUGUGUGUCUGCCUGAAACAAGAGUAAGCAUCAAUGGAUUAACUGAAUUUAAUAGGGUUUGCAGGUAUUUAUGCUACCCAAGCAAAAAAGGUUCUCAAGAUUACAAUGCUGAGGAAAAGGAUAUUACUGAUAUGCUUCUGGAAAAAUUCAGCACACUGAAAUAUUUUGAUUCUCUGAUUAUCAACAGUUACAGGAGCGGCAGCGUGAUUGUAGAUUAUACGGUGCAGUUAAUGAGUUCAGUUACAAUUGAUGAGUUGGAAAAUUUUACCCUAACACUGCCUAAUUCUGUUCUGGUAACAACAGGCCUCAUCACUAUUAACGGUCCUCAGAAGGCAAUUGACAUCGGCUCCUCUGCAAGUAUAACUUGUACUCCACCACAAGAGCUGGGAGAGGUAAAGUGGUUCUUAACAGAUAGGCAGAACAAAACAACAGAGAUCACAAAUGGAAAAGAGGCCACCUUGAAGAAGAACGAUUUGAAGGACAUUGUUGAACUGUAUGACAUUUCAGGAAGCUGGAAAGGAACACUUAAAUGUGUGUACAAAAGAAGGUCCAUAGAACACACAGCAAGUACAGAGUUGGACAUAGCACUUCUGCCAGAAAUACAGGCUAUGAGCAUGCCCCAAUUUCCUGACUGUAGAGAUGUAAAUGCAGAAAGUGUGGUUGAAAUUGAGUGUAAAAUUUUAGAUGACAAAGAAAAUUACAGUGUUGCAUGGAAUACUAAUCUUACUAACACAAAAAUAGGACCAGAACGCCAGGGGAAUUUUUUAUCUUACAAAGUAAAGGUAACCAUAUUUUGUGGAGUGAAAACAGAGACAGAGAAUGUCAUGUGUAUAUUCACGAACACCAGAGCCGAAAAGAACAGAAUCAGAUCUCAGAAUGUGCAGAUUCCCAUCAUUUAUGGUAAGUUUUGAUGUUGUUUAACUUUUUUCUUAAUUCUAUAUCUUUUAAAGUUGUAGACAGUGUUUCUCAGCUGAAGAGUGUGAUUUUUAUUUUUUUCAAUGUUGCAAUCGACCAGCCUGACAGCGUAACUGACUCAACUAAUGGUGUGAGUUUGGGGUCGAGUAUGUUAAUCUGACCAGUGAGGGGUGGAAGUAGGCAUGUUUGGGACAACUCUUUGAAAAAAAACAACACAUUUUUUUGGUGGUGCUAAUGGUUCAAAAACGACCCACUUCACCUUAUAAAUAUAAUAUAUAUUAUAAAAUAUAUUUUACAAUAUAUUUACGUGAAUUACUAACUUUUUGCCUAACAAAUGUACAUGACUGAAAUAUCACAUCAGCAUCAGCAAUAAGUGUUUUCAUUUGAAUAAUUUUCAGUUUUUAUUUUACUCAGCCUAAUGUCCAAACUUAUGGAAGCCCAUUUCUGCUAAAAGGAAAAAAAAAAAAUCACACUUUGGUAAAUCACUAUUAUGAAAAGAAGUCUAAAUAAUGAGAACAAGCUGAAAUUAAUUACUUUUUAUAAUUAAUUUAUGCCAUAACUAUGACUUUUUUUUCCAUAUAAUGGGGUUUUCAAGCUCCAAAAUGACAACCAAAAAAAAAGUGACGCAUGCUAUGUCUUGCGAAAUCAUAUGACAACACAAAGUCAAUAUUCACUGCCAGUCUUUUCCACCAUCCAAGCUCUGACUUGGAAUGCAUUUGAAGAUAUUCGGAGUAUUCAUUACAUAAAGCUAUUGUAUGCCUUGGAAUUACUUUUUUGGUACUUUUUUUUUUUUGUUAUUUCAAAAUCCAAGAGUUAACUUUCACUCUUUUUUAUUUGCAAAAGAGUGGCUAGGAUAUUCUUCAAAAAUGUCCUUGGAAGAAAGAUAUAAAGGUUUGGAAUGGCAUGAUAGUGAUUUAUAGGGAUGUAACGAUUAACUGCGAGCCGGUUGUAAAAUCGUUUUAAAUGCGUUGAUUCAAAUCGGUUGAGAUGCUAAACCAAUCUCGAUUCAUUUAGGUGUAGGAGUUCAUAUGAAUGCAUGUCUGAGGGGAACUUACUGUCUUUAGAAAAGUUUAGAUGGUAUUUUGUCUUUUAAUCUUGCCCCUGUAAGUGUCACCUGCUGGCUGAGAGUGAAUCUGCUUCUCGUUCAGCUCGUCUGCUGUUUCUGUUUCAUGCAGAUAUUUUUUAUGUAUAGUUCACAAAACUGAAGUCAAACCAUUCUGUUUUUGCUUCAAAUGUUUAAAUUAUACAGUCUGAUUUAAAUUAAAAACUGCUCAUGUUGCAUGUAUGCAGCAUCUUUGUUUGGAUCAUGAUUAAAAUGCAGUGGUUGCCUCUAAUUUUAAAUGGAAAGAGCACAGGCAAAGCCUUAUUUUGUUUAUAUUAAGAGAUUUAUUUUAUUUGUGUUAUUUAUUUGAUUUGGGGCUUGUUUUAAAAUUUCAAUUUAGCUUUGUUAUUUACAUUUACAUUCUAUUUAAAUUUUGACAUUUAGCAGAUGCUUUUAUCCAAAGCUAUGUACAAAUGAGGACAAUAAAAGCAAUCAAAACCAACA
ensembl:lncRNA